rnacentral:lncRNA from 1 species
CAGAUAUGUCUUUGUGUUUGUGUGUGUGCGCGCAUGUUCAUGUGUGCUAACCUACAUGUAUACCCCCUGUAUGCAGGUUCUGAUGGAAGCCAGAAGGAGUUAAGAAGACAUCGGACCUGUAGUUAAAGCUGGUUGUUAAGCAGCCUGAUAUAAGUGCUCGGAACUGAGCCUGGAUAGUUGGCAAUAACAGCAAGUAUUCUUAACAUUAGGGAGUAGAAUGGUAAUGGUGGGAACCUGGGAAUGGUGUGAUGGUCUCAUGGAAACAAGAUAAUAUAUGUCUCACCUUCUAACCCUGCUUCAGCUCCUU